AGGAAUUUGCGUUUCCCAUUGGUUUAUUGACUCAUCAAACUCGCAUUGAUAUUGCCGGUAGCGACAACAUCAUUCGAAAGAGCUUUCUCAGCCAUGAAUAUAAUAAAGACAGAUUUGAGAAACAAGAUAGGUGAUGAAUGGUUGAAUGAUAUGAUGGUUUGCUAUGUGGAGUGA
rnacentral:rRNA from 1 species